ensembl:lncRNA
GAAAGGCAACACUUGUUUCUCUGAUAAUCUGAAUUUUUAGGUUCUUCUCUCAACUGUUUGAGUUUGAAAAGCAAAGACAGCCAAGAGGAAAUUGUUUUGGAGAGAAGUGAUAGCCAACCUGGGAUAGCAGUCAAGGAAAUCUCAGUGGUGACACAAUUCAGUUACAAGGAGCAGGGGCAGUAGGCUCGAUGUAAAGUCCACAGAAGUGAAGGGAUAAACCCUUAUCAGCUCUGGCCCAGCCCCUGACACAGCCCUCAGAGCCACUCGGGCUGAAAGAGGUAAACUGCUACAAGAUCUUCAAGGAACAAAGACUGAUUAAGGAUAAUCUUGUAGAAAAUGUUACCUUUUUUUGGAUGAAUUUAACAUGGGAAAUACUGGGGAAGUUCCUGCAGAUCCCUAGCAAGCUGGGCCACCACCACCAUUCCCAGGUGAGCUG